rnacentral:rRNA from 1 species
AAGAAAUCGUUAAGGGCGUAUGGCGGAUGCCUAGGCUUUCAGAGGCGAAGAAGGACGUGGUAAGCUGCGAAAAGCUGCGGGGAUCGGCACACACGAAUUGAUCCGCAGAUGUCCGAAUGGGGCAACCCGUCUGGUUGAAGACCAGUCAUCCCGAUUUAUCGGGAAGCAAACCCGGAGAACUGAAACAUCUAAGUACCCGGAGGAAAAGAAAUCGAAGAGAUUCCGUAAGUAGUGGCGAGCGAAAGCGGAUUAGCCCAAAAGUCAUUAUAUGUUUAAUAGAAUGUUCUGGAAAGAACAGCCAUAGAGGGUGAUAGCCCCGUAGAUGAAAGGCAUAUUUUGAUGAUAAAUGAGUAGGGCGGGACACGUGAAAUCCUGUCUGAAUAUGGGGGGACCAUCCUCCAAGGCUAAAUACUCCUGAAAGACCGAUAGUGAACAAGUACUGUGAAGGAAAGGUGAAAAGCACUUCGAAUAGAAGGGUGAAAGAGAACCUGAAACCGUACGCCUACAAGCGGUCGGAGCAGAUUUAUUCUGUGACGGCGUGCCUUUUGCAUAAUGAGCCUACGAGUUAAUUUUACUAGCGAGCUUAAGCACUUCAGGUGCGGAGGCGGAGCGAAAGCGAGUCUGAAUAGGGCGCAUAGUUAGUAGGAUUAGACGCGAAACCUUGUGAUCUACCCAUGGGCAGGUUGAAGCUUUGGUAACACAAAGUGGAGGACCGAACCGGUUGACGUUGAAAAGUCUUCGGAUGACUUGUGGGUAGGGGUGAAAGGCCAAUCAAACUGGGAGAUAGCUCGUACUCCCCGAAAUGCAUUUAGGUGCAGCGUCGAUGUAAAGUUUAUUAGAGGUAGAGCUACUGAUUGGAUGCGGGGGAGUCAAAUCCUACCAAUUCCUGACAAACUCCGAAUGCUAAUAAAUGUUCGUCGGCAGUGAGGGCAUGGGUGCUAAGGUCCAUGUCCGAAAGGGAAAGAACCCGGACCAACAGCUAAGGUCCCCAAAUCUAUACUAAGUUGAAACAACGCGGUUGAACUGCAUUGACAGCUAGGAUGUUGGCUUGGAAGCAGCCAUUCAUUUAAAGAGUGCGUAACAGCUCACUAGUCGAGCGGUUCGGCAUGGAUAAUAAUCGGGCAUAAGUAUAGUACCGAAGCUAUGGAUUUAUAACUUUAGAGUUAUAUCUGGUAGGGGAGCAUUCUGUUUGCACAGAAGCAGUAUCGUGAGGUAUUGUGGAGCGGACAGAAAAGAAAAUGUAGGCAUAAGUAACGAUAAAGCGGGCGAGAAACCCGCUCACCGAAAGACUAAGGUUUCCUCAGCCAUGCUAAUCAGCUGAGGGUUAGUCGGGACCUAACGCGAACCCGAAAGGGGAAGUGGAUGGACAAUGGGUUAAUAUUCCCAUACUUGCUCACACUAAAAAGGGGACGGAUUUACGUACUUGCUGGAGACUGACGGAAUAGUCAAGGCCUAGCCUUCGGGCGAAGCUGCUGCAGGGAAAUAGAUUCCAAGAAAAGCCGAAGUGAAGCAACCCGUACCAAAACCGACACAGGUAGUCGAGGAGAGAAUCCUAAGGUGCUAGAGUGAAUCAUGGUUAAGGAACUAGGCAAAAUAGUCUCGUAACUUCGGAAGAAGAGACGCCAUCAGCAAUGGUGGCCGCAGUGAAGAGGCCCAGGCGACUGUUUAUCAAAAACACAGGACUCUGCUAAAUCGAAAGAUGCUGUAUAGGGUCUGACACCUGCCCGGUGCUGGAAGGUUAAGGAAGGUUGUUAGCGUAAGCGAAGCAAUUAACUGAAGCCCCAGUAAACGGCGGCCGUAACUAUAACGGUCCUAAGGUAGCGAAAUUCCUUGUCGGGUAAGUUCCGACCUGCACGAAUGGUGUAACGAUCUGGGCACUGUCUCAACCAUGAGCUCUGUGAAAUUGUAGUAUCGGUGAAGAUGCCGAUUACCCGCAAUGGGACGAAAAGACCCUGUGAACCUUUACUAUAACUUCGUAUUGACUUUGAAUAAACAAUGUGUAGGAUAGGUGGGAGACUUUGAAGCGGGCACGCCAGUGUCUGUGGAGUCAACGUUGAAAUACCACCCUUUGUUUAUUUGGAGCCUAACUCCGACUUGUCGGAGGACAUUGCGUGGUGGGUAGUUUGACUGGGGUGGUCGCCUCCAAAAGAGUAACGGAGGCUUUCAAAGGUACCCUCAGCACGCUUGGUAACCGUGCGUAGAGUGUAAUGGCAUAAGGGUGCUUGACUGUGAGACCUACAAGUCGAUCAGGUGCGAAAGCAGGACAUAGUGAUCCGGUGGUUCCGUAUGGAAGGGCCAUCGCUCAUAGGAUAAAAGGUACUCCGGGGAUAACAGGCUAGUCUCCCCCAAGAGCUCACAUCGACGGGGAGGUUCGGCACCUCGAUGUCGGCUCGUCACAUCCUGGGGCUGGAGAAGGUCCCAAGGGUUGGGCUGUUCGCCCAUUAAAGUGGCACGCGAGCUGGGUUCAGAACGUCGUGAGACAGUUCGGUCUCUAUCUAUUGCGGGCGUUAGAUGUUUGAGAGGGCUUGAAUCUAGUACGAGAGGACCGAUUUGAACAAACCUCUGGUGUAUCAGUUGUACCGCCAGGUGCACCGCUGAGUAGCUACGUUUGGUAAGGAUAAGCACUGAAAGCAUAUAAGUGCGAAACCUGCCUCAAGAUGAGACAUCUUUUAAGGGUCGUUGGAGAUGACAACGUUGAUAGGCUACAGGUGUAAAGUCAGUAAUGUCAUAGCCGAGUAGUACUAAUUACCCGUAGAUUUAUAGC